rnacentral:rRNA from 1 species
CACGUGGGCAACCUGCCGGACUGAUGGGAAUAACCCCGGGAAACCGGGGCUAAUGCCCAAUACGCCCUGACCUCGCCUGAGGUCAGCGGUAAAGCAGGGAUCUUCGGAUCCUUGCACAGUCCGAUGGGCCCGCGGCGCAUUAGCUAGUUGGAGAGGUAAGGGCUCCCCAAGGCGACGAUGCGUAGCCGACCUGAGAGGGUGAUCGGCCACACUGGGACUGAGACACGGCCCAGACUCCUACGGGAGGCAGCAGUAGGGAAUCAUCCGCAAUGGGCGAAAGCCUGACGGUGCAACGCCGCG